UACGUGAGGGGCGAACGUUGUUCGGUGUCACUGGGCUUAAAGGGUGCGUAGGUGGUUGCGUAAGUAAGGUGUGAAAUCCCUCGGCUUACCCGGGGAAUUGCAUUUUAUACUGCGUGGCUUGAGGACUAAAGGGGAAAAGGGAACUCCAGGUGUAGCGGUGAAAUGCGCAGAUAUCAGGAGGAACACCAAUGGCGAAGGCAGCUCGCUGGGACGGUACUGACGCUGAGGCACGAAAGCGUGGGUAGCAAACAGG
rnacentral:rRNA from 1 species